AUAAUUCAUAUUGGCAUAUUAAGAAUAUAAAGCUGACUGAAAAAAAGCAUACUGUGAAGAGAUACAUACAUAUGGCAACAUUUUAAAAAUAAAAAAUUGUAUUAAGUGUAUGCAAAGAAAAAUCCUAGGACAGAUACUAAAUGUUAAGACUUAUUACCUUUAGGUGGGGAAGGUAUAGGUUAAUUUUUCCUUUGUGCUUUUCUGUAUGGCUCAGUAUUCUUCAGUGAGUACAUGUUACUUCUGAAAGUACUAGACUAUAAGCUCUAGAGGUGAGAGACGACUCUGUUUAUAAGAAGGGAGAGAAUUUUCUUUGUUUGCUAGAAGAGUGCCAGCUCAAUAAAUAUGUGUUGAAUGAAUAAAUGAAUGAAUUAGAAGAGGAGAAAUAUUUUGAAAUAAAUAAAGUCUCUUGUAUUUCGGCCUGUUAAUGCAUUAUUAGAGAAACUGCCUGGGUCCUAGGGUAUGAAGGAACUGCCACUGACUCCCUUCCAAUCCUGUGUCUCCCGCCUUCUUCAGGCACCUUGGAGCAGCCAAGUUAUUCCAGCCCAGAGCCUGGGAAGGGCCCAAGUGGAGAUAAAGAAACCAAGGCUCAGAGAGGUUAAGAAACUUGCCCAAGGACACACAGCUAGAAAAUGGAUGCUGGAGGGAAAAUAAGGCUCUUUCUACCCAAGUUGUGGUAAUACAGAUACUGAGAGUCAACAUAUGUCCCAGGGUCCACAGGAUCUGGAACUGGGGAGAGCAGAGAGGAAACUCGGUGUGGGCUGUGCAGGCCUCCCCACUGGCAGGAGGGUGUCUUUCUUCACUCAAGCUCACCCAAUUUGGCACCC